CCUAUCCCAGAGCGGAAUGUCUGAAAUUUGAAGAUAGCUCUUCCUUCUGUGACACCGGAAUCGUGCAACUUCAGUGUUUAACAGAAUGCCCAGACUGGACAUACUUCACCAAAAACGAAUGUCAUGGCUGUCCUUGUAACGUGACAAACACAGAACGCUGUGACAAGAGAUCAGGGAAAUGUGUAUGUAAACCUGGAUAUGUAGGGGAUCUCUGCAACUGUAAGGGGAAUACCUGUAACAUCGAUGUGGCUUUUUGUCAAGACAAUGAAAACGGAACUAGCUGCUUAUGUAAACCUGGCUAUGAAAACCGAGGGUUCAAAUGUCAAGAUUCUUUGAGGCUGACUUUGA